UACGAAGGGGGCUAGCGUUGUUCGGAUUUACUGGGCGUAAAGCGCACGUAGGCGGAUUGUUAAGUCAGAGGUGAAAUCCCGGAGCUCAACUUCGGAACUGCCUUUGAUACUGGCAAUCUAGAGUCCGGAAGAGGUGAGUGGAACUCCUAGUGUAGAGGUGGAAUUCGUAGAUAUUAGGAAGAACACCAGUGGCGAAGGCGGCUCACUGGUCCGGUACUGACGCUGAGGUGCGAAAGCGUGGGGAGCAAACAGG
rnacentral:rRNA from 1 species